rnacentral:lncRNA from 1 species
UUUGAAGGCAGAUUUUCUCUUCCCUGGUGCCAGGCACAGCUAUUUGUGGCAUGAGAACAUUCAAUUUUAUAAUGGAAAUAAAUGAGAGAAUGGGAUCCAGUAACAUUCAACUUAAGGUUUGUUUUUUUAAAAAAGGAUAUCAUCCAUGCCGUUAAAUACUUGGGGUGCUCAAAAGUAGUAUGUUGAAUGUAACUUAACUGACCGAAGACUGUAAGUCUCAGACAGACGCCUAUACCAAGCAGUUAUCCAAGAUCUUGAGUCUUCAGAUUUUAUAGUCACAGCUUCAUCUAUUUCCUGUUGACUGAAAAAGGUCAAGGCGGAGUGGAAUUUGUCAUCUUGC